GAUGAAGAACGUAGCGAAAUGCGAUACGUAAUGUGAAUUGCAGAAUUCAGUGAAUCAUCGAAUCUUUGAACGCAUAUUGCGCUCUCUGGUAUUCCGGAGAGCAUGCUUGUUUGAGUAUCAGUAAACACCUCAACUUCCAUAUCUUUUUUGAAAUGGGAGUUGGACUUGAGUGAUCCCAACGCUUUUCCUCACCGAAAAGUGGCGGGUUACUUGAAAUGCAGGUGCAGCUGGACUGUUCUCUGAGCUAUAAGCAUAUCUAUUUAGUCUGCCUAAAAAACAGAUUAUUACCUUUGCUGCAGCUAACAUAAAGGAGAUUAGUUCUUGUGCUGACUGAUGCAGGAUUCACAAAGACGGCUUCGGCCGACUUUGUAAACUCGAUCUCAAAUCAAGUAAGACUACCCGCUGAACUUAAGCAUAUCAAUAAGCGGAGGA
rnacentral:misc_RNA from 1 species